UUAUCCUACGGGAGGCAGCAGUGAGGAAUAUUGGUCAAUGGCCGAGAGGCUGAACCAGCCAAGUCGCGCGAGGGAAGAAUGUCCUAGGGAUUGUAAACCUCUUUUGUCAGGGAACAAAGGCGGGGACGCGUCCCCGGAUGAGUGUACCUGAAGAAAAAGCAUCGGCUAACUCCGUGCCAGCAGCCGCGGUAAUACGGAGGAUGCGAGCGUUAUCCGGAUUUAUUGGGUUUAAAGGGUGCGCAGGCGGGCUGUUAAGUCAGCGGUCAAAGCCCGGGGCUCAACCCCGGCCCGCCGUUGAAACUGGG
rnacentral:rRNA from 1 species